GAUGAACGCUGGCGGCGUGCCUAAUACAUGCAAGUCGGACGCACUAAUUUAUUAGUGAGUGGCGAACGGGUGAGUAACACGUAGGUAAUCUACCUUUAAGACGAGGAUAACCAUUGGAAACGAUGGCUAAGACUGGAUAGGAAUAUGUAAGGCAUCUUAUAUAUUUUAAAAGACCUAGCAAUAGGUAUACUUAAAGAGGAGCCUGCGGCGCAUUAGUUAGUUGGUGAGGUGAUGGCUUACCAAGACAGUGAUGCGUAGCCGGACUGAGAGGUUGAACGGCCACAUUGGGACUGAGACACGGCCCAAACUCCUACGGGAGGCAGCAGUAGGGAAUUUUCGGCAAUGGGGGCAACCCUGACCGAGCAACGCCGCGUGAAUGACGAAGUACUUCGGUAUGUAAAGUUCUUUUAUUAGGGAGAAUGACUUGUGGAAAAGCAAGUGUGACGGUACCUAAUGAAUAAAGCCCCGGCUAACUAUGUG
rnacentral:rRNA from 1 species